rnacentral:rRNA from 1 species
UGGGGAAUCUUGCGCAAUGGACGAAAGUCUGACGCAGCCACGCCGCGUGAGUGAAGAAGGCCUUCGGGUUGUAAAGCUCUGUCACCUGGGACGAAAACACUGACGGUUAAUAGCCGUCGGAAUUGACGGUACCAGGGGAGGAAGCACCGGCUAACUUCGUGCCAGCAGCCGCGGUAAUACGAAGGGUGCAAGCGUUGCUCGGAAUUAUUGGGCGUAAAGGGUUGGUAGGUGGUCUUGUUUGUCUAAGGUGAAAUCCCAUGGCUUAACUGUGGAAGUGCCUUAGAAACGGCAAGACUAGAGUCCUAGAGGGGUUUGUGGAAUUCCCGGUGUAGCGGUGAAAUGCGUAGAGAUCGGGAGGAACACCAGCGGCGAAGGCGGCAAACUGGAUAGGCACUGACACUCAACAACGAAAGCGUGGGGAGCAAACA